rnacentral:lncRNA from 1 species
CAACUGUUUAGUUGUAAAGGAUGAAAUCAAAACAUCAAUUAGAUAAUAUUUUUUGAAUAAACAAGCAAAAGAUGCAAAAGAACAAUGUUAUGUAUGACAUUUUUGACACAAUAAAAAUCUGUGUUUAAAGAUUCAUCAUGUUAUGUAUAUGGGAUAGUGAUAGUCAUGCUAGGAAGAUAUGGAAAGAAUUGCUAUAAUUUUAAUGCUUAUUCACAGAACAGGCUUAUACUAGGCCCAGGAAAUAUAAAUCUUUAAUUAAGUUCCACAUCCUUUUUAACCUGUACCUCAGAUUUCCCGUAAUUCUUACCACCCCUGUAGGUUAUCACAAUGCCAACCUGUUACCUCAUCCAACAAAAUUUGUAUCCUCUCGGGUAUACCUCUGUGUUUAAAGGAAAACAGUGUGCUUUU